rfam:Vigna angularis cultivar Jingnong 6 chromosome 1, whole genome shotgun sequence.
AUACCUUUCUCGGCCUUUUGGCUAAGAUCAAGUGUAGUAUCUGUUCUUAUCAGUUUAAUAUCUGAUAUGUGGGCCAAUGGUCCACACGAUAUUAAAUUAAUUUUUUGAAGGGGAGAUUUCAGUACAGUAGCUUGCUACUGAGGAUUUCAUUUGUCGCUCAAAUCUUGCACUAAAGCUUGAGCAGGCACACCCUAU